GACGAACGCUGGCGGCGUGCUUAACACAUGCAAGUCGAACGGAAAGGCCCUGCUUUUGUGGGGUGCUCGAGUGGCGAACGGGUGAGUAACACGUGAGUAACCUGCCCUUGACUUUGGGAUAACUUCAGGAAACUGGGGCUAAUACCGGAUAGGAGCUCCUGCUGCAUGGUGGGGGUUGGAAAGUUUCGGCGGUUGGGGAUGGACUCGCGGCUUAUCAGCUUGUUGGUGGGGUAGUGGCUUACCAAGGCUUUGACGGGUAGCCGGCCUGAGAGGGUGACCGGCCACAUUUGGACUGAGAUACGGCCCAGACUCCUACGGGAGGCAGCAGUGGGGAAUAUUGCACAAUGGGCGGAAGCCUGAUGCAGCAACGCCGCGUGCGGGAUGAAGGCCUUCGGGUUGUAAACCGCUUUCGCCUGUGACGAAGCGUGAGUGACGGUAAUGGGUAAAGAAGCACCGGCUAACUACGUG
rnacentral:rRNA from 1 species